rnacentral:rRNA from 1 species
GUGGGGAAUAUUGGGCAAUGGGCGAAAGCCUGACCCAGCAACGCCGCGUGAAGGAAGAAGGUCUUCGGAUCGUAAACUUCUAUCCUUGGUGAAGAUAAUGACGGUAGCCGAGAAGGAAGCCCCGGCUAACUACGUGCCAGCAGCCGCGGUAAUACGUAGGGGGCAAGCGUUGUCCGGAAUGAUUGGGCGUAAAGGGCGCGUAGGCGGCCUGGUAAGUAUGGAGUGAAAGUCCUGCUUUUAAGGUGGGAAUUGCUUUGGAUACUGUCGGGCUUGAGUGCAGGAGAGGUAAGUGGAAUUCCCGGUGUAGCGGUGAAAUGCGUAGAGAUCGGGAGGAACACCAGUGGCGAAGGCGACUUACUGGACUGUAACUGACGCUGAGGCGCGAAAGUGUGGGGAGCAAACAGGAUUAGAAACCCGUGUAGUCC